CAAAGGCAUAAUUUUAAGUAAAUGGUUUUUCUUGUGCCCCGCCUCCCUCCCCCUCCAUUCUAGAUCAAAGUUUUUAUUUGUUUUUUUAACAUAAUUAAAUAUUAAGCACUUCUUGGUCUUUUGGCUUACUGCCUUUUAGCAAGCCGGUCCUAUUGUUCAUUGCCAAUUAUAAAUAAUUGGCUUAUACUUCUAUCUUAACUACCAACAAUUGAAUCUUUUUAUGCCCUUGUAUGUAGGCUCAUGAGUCUUCCUUUAUAGGAUUUUCUGUCUUAUGUAGAUUUCUGGAGGCUAAGCCAAAUUGUCUUUCAGUAAACUUAAUAGAUUGAACAGGUCAAAUAUAAGUACAUUUCCAGAUCUAGAUUUUUUCCCAUAGUUCUUUACUGAAAACUUUCCAAACUUUAAAUAUGCCUAGAAUCUAAAUUCACUGAAUAAAUGUCAAGCAUAUAUUGUAUAUACUAAAUCUGAGCAAAGCUUGUAAAUGACUUGACCUGCACCACUUCCUGUGACUGUGGUUACCCCAUAGCAAGUCAAGUAUGUGCAACUGCAGCAGAAACCAAUCCACAUAGUGAGUGAUGCCAAUACUGGAAACCACAGCAGUGUCAAGGUGGACUGAGUGAACCAAUGGAUGGCACCAAGUUGAACAGCUGGAUGUGUCCACCGUCCUUCCUAGCACAAGUCUCAGAAAAACAGUCCUACUGAAGUGGCCACCUGUGAGGUUCUUUGCUUCCCAACUAAAAGACUUCUGUAAACCAGAUAUUUUCUUUCUCUACUUCAGUAAUGCAGGCUUCCACAGAACUUUAGGCAAAGGAAGGAGGAUUUAAACACAGCUGUUCUGGUUGCGUCUCUAGAACACCUGCACCCACUGUGUGAUUGAAACUGGUACUAAACCUUCUGUAUAAAUUACCUUUCCAAUGCUGUGAACAAGCAUGGUUUGAAAAGCUUUGUCAAAUGGGUGGUGGUGUGUUUUUGUUUUCCUUCUUGCUUUAGCAGAGUGUCCUCUAAGCAUUAGUCCUUCACCUGUUGGAAAUGCUGUAAGUGGAACAGUAGUGCUUCCUGCAGGUAAGCUGCUUCUGUGGGAAAUGGUACCUUCUUAAGAGGCUCAUGGUAAGUAAUUCAGAAGCCUCUGGACCUGUAGAUGUUUAUUCAUCCCAGUAAUACUCUCAAUAG
rnacentral:lncRNA from 1 species